rnacentral:rRNA from 1 species
UAACAAUACAGGACUCUUUCGAGGCCCUGUAAUUGGAAUGAGUACACUUUAAAUCCUUUAAUGAGGAUUUAUUGGAGAGCAAGUCUGGUGCAGAGCGACUGACCUGACCUGCAGCUGAAA